rnacentral:misc_RNA from 1 species
GAAACUGAACAACUGCAAGCUA